rnacentral:rRNA from 1 species
UACGUAGGGUGCAAGCGUUGUCCGGAAUUAUUGGGCGUAAAGAGCUCGUAGGCGGCUUGUCGCGUCGGCUGUGAAAACCUGGGGCUCAACCCCGAGCCUGCAGUGGAUACGGGCAGACUAGAGGUAGGUAGGGGAGAAUGGAAUUCCCGGUGUAGCGGUGAAAUGCGCAGAUAUCGGGAGGAACACCGGUGGCGAAGGCGGUUCUCUGGGCCUUACCUGACGCUGAGGGGCGAAAGCGUGGGGAGCGAACAGG